UUCCGUAGGUGAACCUGCGGAAGGAUCAUUCGCACAUGUCCAACACAUUCUUUUGAUAUUUAUGUGGAAUCUGCAUGGGGUCAUGUUGAGACUCUUUUCAGAUACUAUUUGGCAUUGUGUUAAACACGAUGAUGAACAUACCUGUUCGUUCCCAUUGCCACAGCAUGCUGAACAAACUUUCACAUUAAUUCUACCAGCUGCACUUUACAUGAAGAGCUUACAAUUUUCAGCGACGGAUGUCUCGGUUCGAACACCGAUGAAGGGCGCAGCGAAGUGCGAUAAGCAUUGUGAAUUGCAGAAUUCCGUGAGCCGACAGGGUCUUGAACACAUAUUGUACUUUUGGGAUAUCCUUAAAAGUAUGUCUACUUCAGUGUCUCCGUUACAUUGCUUCAGCAAUUGUUUAUGUUGACAGGGUGCACUGUUGUAAGUCGCUGUACCUCAAAGUGUGUUAGUCUCCAUAUGUUUGCAUUCUUGAGGUGUGUGAUUGACAAGGGUUUCGUGUGCAUGUCAGCCUAUUAAUUCUUCAAUUGAUGAAAAUUGUUGUGCUCGUGGCACUGCCGAUCUUGCUGUCACGAUCUUGUUGUGGACAACAAUUUCAGACAUGAGGUUAGGUUUGCAAACCCGCUGAAUUUAAGCACAUCAAUAAGCGGA
rnacentral:rRNA from 1 species